rnacentral:rRNA from 1 species
UGGGGAAUUUUGGGCAAUGGGCGAAAGCCUGACCCAGCAACGCCGCGUGAAGGAUGAAGUAUUUCGGUAUGUAAACUUCGUAAGAAUAGGAAGAAUAAAUGACGGUACUAUUUAUAAGGUCCGGCUAACUACGUGCCAGCAGCCGCGGUAAUACGUAGGGACCAAGCGUUGUUCGGAUUUACUGGGCGUAAAGGGCGCGUAGGCGGCAUGACAAGUCACUUGUGAAAUCUCUGGGCUUAACCCAGAACGGCCAAGUGAUACUGUCGCGCUAGAGUGCAGAAGGGGCAAUCGGAAUUCUUGGUGUAGCGGUGAAAUGCGUAGAUAUCAAGAGGAACACCUGAGGUGAAGACGGGUUGCUGGGCUGACACUGACGCUGAGGCGCGAAAGCCAGGGGAGCAAACGGGAUUAGAUACCCGAGUAGUCCCUGAGCGGGCUGGCAAGGCGCAU